UACGUAGGGUGCGAGCGUUAAUCGGAAUUACUGGGCGUAAAGCGUGCGCAGGCGGUUUUGUAAGCCAGAUGUGAAAUCCCCGGGCUUAACCUGGGAAUGGCAUUUGGGACUGCAAGGCUUGAGUGCGGCAGAGGAGACUGGAAUUCCUGGUGUAGCAGUGAAAUGCGUAGAUAUCAGGAGGAACACCGGUGGCGAAGGCGGGUCUCUGGGCCGUAACUGGACGCUGAGGAGCGAAAGCGUGGGGAGCAAACAGGA
rnacentral:rRNA from 1 species